CCACCUAUCCAUCCAUCCAUCCAUACACAACGGUACAAACAAGCAUUGACAGACUGGAGGAGGAGUUUAUGCAAAACUGUGCUGUAUAUUUCUGUGUCUGUGUUCACUGACUGUAUGUGGAUCCUGUAGAGGAGAAUCAAUCAGCAAUGACAACAAUGAUCAGUUCACUCCUGCUAUUACUAUUUUUACAUGAUAUUCAUUGUCAGACCUUCACUCAGUCUCAAGCUGUGGUAAAAAGACCUGGUGAAUCUUUUCGGCUGGUCUGUACCGCCUCUGGAUAUUCUUUCAGCAGCUACUGGGCAGCUGUGGUGAGACAGGGUCACGGUAAAGGACUGGAAUGGGUUGCAACUAUCGGCACAUCCAGUUCUCAGAUCUACUAUUCCCAGUCAGUCCAGGGAAGGUUCACAGUGUCCAGAGAUGACUCCAGCAGUCAACUGUACCUGCAGAUGAACAGCCUCAAGACUGAAGACACUGCUGUGUAUUACUGU